UACGUAUGGUGCAAGCGUUAUCCGGAAUUACUGGGUGUAAAGGGUGAGUAGGCGGCAUGGUAAGCCAGAUGUGAAAGCCUUGGGCUUAACCCGAGGAUUGCAUUUGGAACUAUCAAGCUAGAGUACAGGAGAGGAAAGCGGAAUUCCUAGUGUAGCGGUGAAAUGCGUAGAUAUUAGGAAGAACACCAGUGGCGAAGGCGGCUUUCUGGACUGAAACUGACGCUGAGGCACGAAAGCGUGGGGAGCGAACAGG
rnacentral:rRNA from 1 species